UCCAGACUCCUACGGGAGGCAGCAGUGGGGAAUAUUGCACAAUGGGGGGAACCCUGAUGCAGCGACGCCGCGUGGGUGAAGGAGUACUUCGGUACGUAAAGCCCUAUCAGCAGGAAAGAAAAUGACGGUACCUGACUAAGAAGCCCCGGCUAACUACGUGCCAGCAGCCGCGGUAAUACGUAGGGGGCAAGCGUUAUCCGGAUUUACUGGGGGUAAAGGGAGCGUAGACGGCAGUGCAAGUCCGGAGUGAAAGCCCGGGGCUCAACCCUGGGACUGCUCUGGAAACUGUAAAGCUGGAGUGCGGGAGGGGCAGGCGGAAUUCCUGGUGUAGCGGUGAAAUGCGUAGAUAUCAGGAGGAACACCGGCGGCGAAGGCGGCCUGCUGGACCGUAACUGACGUUGAGGCUCGAAAGCGUGGGGAGCAAACAGGAUUAGAUACCCUCGUAA
rnacentral:rRNA from 1 species